ensembl:misc_RNA Metazoa_SRP Metazoan signal recognition particle RNA
GCCAGGUGUGGUGGUGCACACCUGUAGUUCUAGCUACUUGGGAGGCUGAGGAGGGAGGAUCACUUGAGCCCAGGAAGUGGAGGCUGCAGUGGCAGUGACUAUGCCACUGCACUCCAGCCUGGGCUACAGAGUGAAAUCCCAUCUCUU